rnacentral:rRNA from 1 species
CAACUCACCUCCGAAGCAACCAGCCCUGAAAAUGGAUGGCGCUGUAACGUCGUGCCUAUACCGGGCCGUCAGCGGCAAAGCGGGUCCCGCCCAGCCCGGGCCGGGUGCAAACCCGCCGGGCCGGCGGGGCAGUUAAGCCCUGAUGAGUAGGAGGGCGCGGCGGUGUGCGUAGAAGGGUCCGGGCGUGAGCCUGCCUGGAGCCGCCGUCGGUGCAGAUCUUGGUGGUAGUAGCAAAUACUCUAGUGAGGGCCUUGAGGACUGAUGCGGAGAAGGGUUUCUUGUGAACAGCCGUUGCACAAGAGUUAGUCGAGCCUAAGCCCAAGGAGAAAUCCUACUAUGUAUGGGGGCGCCCGUCCCCCGUCGGGCGAAAGGGAAACUGGUUUGCAUUCCAGUACCCGGCACGGAACCGCACUUUAGCGGGCGCUCGCCUGCGAGGGCUCGAUGGGGCAACCCAUACACGUCUGGAGAAGCCGGCGGGUGGUCCAGGGAGAGUGAUCUUUUCUCUGUAAGCGUUCGAGUUCCAUGGAAUCCUCUAGCAGGGAGAAAUGGUUCGGAGCGCGAAGAGCACCGAAGCUUGCAACGGUGUCUGGACCUUCCCCCCGGACCUUGAAAAUCCAGACUAGAGCUACGCGGAUAACCGUGUCGGAUCGUACCCAUGUCCGCAGCAGGUCUCCUAGGUCAAGAGCCUCUAGUCGAUAGAAUAAUGUAGGUAAGGGC